AAAGUGCUAGGAUUACAGGCGUGAGUCACCGUGCCUGGCCCCCAUGACCUUUUCGAAGUCCCCUAGUAUGCCUUUACACCCAUUUCUAGAAUGAUUCCCAACAUUCCUUCAUUUAUUCCUUUAUUUAUUGAAUAAAUAAUUAUUAAAUGCUUGUCAUGUAUGUUCCAGGCUUUGCUCUAGUAAUUUCGGAUAUAUCAAUGAACAAAGCAGGAAAGAAAAAAAAAAAAGGCAAAAUCUCUGCCUUCCGGGAGCUCACAUUCCCACAGGAGUCACAGGAAACAGCCAAUGACCAGUAAGCAUCACAAAGAAGUCAUGCCAAAGAACCAGACAAAUAGCUGGAAGGAAGAGGGGAACUCCUUUGUGACGCCAAAUGGGCCAAAGGGUCGCUGGGAAAACUAAGCCUUACUGUCCAUCUUGCCUUCAGGAUAAUGUGAAAUAUGGCCUAAUUUUUGAAGUUUUUUUCUUAGAAAUUUUACUGAAUCCAAAAUAAAACAAGAAGAUCAUGGUGGAUAUAGCUUCCAAAUUUAUUCUGCAAUAAAACAGGUUUGAAUCUAGAUAUACAAGCAAAUAGCAAAUAAUAUACAUUCUUUUUUGCAGAGUCCAGAAUUCUCUUUUCUCAACACUAGAUGGCAGUAGAGUUAAAGAAAAAAAUCCCAGCAGUUCUUUGUACAGGGAUUUGGUGAUUUUUCCCAUAAAGCUGCGAUGAGGAUGAACUCAGAGCAAAAUCUAUGAUAUACCUAUUUGGGUACCCUGUUCAAAUUAAGGUAGAGAUUUUUGAAGAGUCACAAGCCCGGAGGAAAAUGUAGAGUUUCAGGAAAGAACUCAUCACUUAGCAACAACAACAACAACAACGACAACAACAACAACAACAACAACAACAAAAGUGUGACCUUUACUUGAAAAAUACCAGCCCCUGGCCACAGAACUAGGCUUACAAUUUUUCAGAGCAGGCACCAGGUGAAUCUUUGUUCCCAAAUAUUUUCCCUACCUGCCUGUACCACAAUGCUGAAAUUCUAUUCUUAGACAGAUAACUCGUUUGACUGGUGAGUUUAAAAAUGCAAAUUUCCCAAGAAGAAGUAGCCCAGUUAAGACUGUUAUGAGACAGUCAUACUAUGGUGAAAAGAAUGCAUAAAGAAAGGAUCCUGAAUUAAAGAGAAAAGCAAAGGACAAUUGUAAAGGACACAGAAUUGCUGGGAAGAAAAAUGCCUGGAGCUUUCCCAAAUCAGGCAAUAAAAAGGCACUGAGCAUCUGCGAGACACGUAUGAGGAUUUUUUCAAUCAGCUUCUUUUGGUUUAAAUUGACAGAAACCCCAACUCAACUAAGCUUAGGAAAAAAAGGGUAAUCUAUUGGCUCAUAUAAUUUAAAAGUACGACUUUUAAAUUAGAUGGAGUUUCAGGCAUGGCUUGAUCCAGGUAUUAAGCAAUACUUUCAAAACUUUGUCUUCUCUGUUUUCCUGCUUUCAGCAGGCCCUCUGCUCCUGUCUUCUCCCAAAUAUAGUAUAAGUUUUUUUCUUUACCCUGAUCACUAAAGUAAAAAUUGUGAGAUAAGCUGUGAUUGGCCAUGCGCACGUCCUUGAGUCAGUCGAGGUGGCUUCCAGAUACAAGGCUCUGGUGGGCCAUGUGGGAGUUAUUGGCUUUGUCCUGGAACCAGAGGUGGGUCAGCUUCACUGACACACUUGCACCAAGGAAAUGGGCGUGGUGUUGCCAGAAAAGAGGGACAUGGGUAUUGGAGCUUCACAUAGCACAUGUCCCGCCCAGCAGCCUCUGCGAGUUCCAACCCAGAGUGGCUGUGAAAUCAAGUUGCUGGAUCACAGCCAGCAUCAAAGGAGUAUUCUAGAAGAGAAUUUAAUAGAAGAUACCUGAGUGUGUCACAUUCUGUAAGAGUCAGUUCUGUGAAACCUUUGUUUGAGUUACACAGGUGCAUACGUAUCUACAAAUGUAAAUAUGUGUGCAUAUUUAUAUACAUGUAUGUAUAAAUGUGUGGAUAAAUAUGAAUUGUUGACCACGGUUUAUGGAAAAAAAGGUGUAAACAUGUGUAAAUAUGUGCAAAUAUGUGCAUAUUUAUAUACGUACAUAUUUGGACUUAUAGGUGUAAAUAUGUGUGCAUAUUUAUAUACAUGUAUGUGUAAAUGUGUGGAUAAGUAUGAAAUUUUGAGUUAUAUGGAGUUAAAUAAAAUAUAUAAUCAAAA